ACGCUCGAAGUAAACCUAAGAAAAAAACAUGGUCUCGCGACCAAAGAGGAUGGGUUCGGGAGUCGAUUAUGCGAAGGGAAGGUAUUAGGCACCCUACGCAUCCGUAGUACUCUACGGGAUCCACGCACAGAAGGAAAGAGAAUUGGUUGCUAAACACUGCUCAAACUCACACACACUGGCUGAAAGAAACGAAAGAGACUGACUGAAACUGACUCGGCAGGAUGUCGCAUCCUGGGCCUACUUAGUCUAUCA
rnacentral:lncRNA from 1 species